CCGCACGUUGCACACCCCGGGCUUCUCCGAGAUCUCAAUGACGUGAAAGCCCCGAUGCAGGUGCCAAAUCGCCGCCGUUCGUGUUGCAGUUCAGCCCAAUUUCCACGGCUGAUCUGUGUCAAAGUAACGGCAAAAUCU